UGUUGAUCUCUCUUUUUAAAU
ensembl:piRNA 21ur-14676 ncRNA